CAAGGGAUAGUUUAUUUAAAAUAUUAAUUUUGGAGAUUAAUGAAAGGGAGUAUACCUUUCCCUUGA
rnacentral:tRNA from 1 species